CCUACGGGAGGCAGCAGUGAGGAAUAUUGGUCAAUGGGCGCGAGCCUGAACCAGCCAAGUAGCGUGAAGGAUGACUGCCCUACGGGUUGUAAGCUUCUUUUAUAAAGGAAUAAAGUGAGGCACGUGUGCCUUUUUGUAUGUACUUUAUGAAUACAGAUAGGCUAACCCCGUUCCAGCAGCCGCGGUAAUACGGAGGAUCCGAGCGUUAAACGGAUUUAUUGGGUUUAAAGGGAGCGUAGAUGGGUUUUUAAGUCAGUUGUGAAAGUUUGCGGCUCAACCGUAAGCUUGCAAUUGAUACUGGCAGUCUUGAGUACAGUUGAGGUAGGCGGAAUUCGAGGUGUAGCGGUGAAAUGCGUAGAUAUCACGAAGAACUCCGAUUGCGAAGGCAGCUUACUAAGCUGCCACUGACAUUGAUGCUCGAAAGUGUGGGUAUCAAACAGGAUUAGAUACCCCAGUAGUC
rnacentral:rRNA from 1 species